rnacentral:rRNA from 1 species
UACGAAGGGUGCAAACGUUGCUCGGAAUUAUUGGGCGUAAAGCGCACGUAGGCGCUUUGUAAGUUGGAUGUGAAAGCCCUCGGCUCAACCAAGGAAGUGCAUCCAAAACUACAAAGCUUGAGUACUUAAGAGGAUCGCGGAAUUCCCGGUGUAGAGGUGAAAUUCGUAGAUAUCGGGAAGGAACACCAGUGGCGAAGGGCGGCGAUC